GCCGGAAUAGCUCAGUUGGUAGAGCAACGCACUCGUAACGCGUGGGUCGUAGGUUCGAUUCCUAUUUCCGGCACCA
rnacentral:tRNA from 2 species